rnacentral:rRNA from 1 species
AUGUUCGAGGGGAUGGAGCGGGCGGGGUACGGCGUGGGCGCCGGGGUGGUGCUGUCGCGGGACCCCAAGCCCCGGCUGCGCUGGACGCCCGACCUGCACGAGCGCUUCGUGGAGGCCGUCACCAAGCUCGGCGGGCCCGACAAGGCGACGCCCAAGUCGGUGCUGAGACUGAUGGGCAUGAAAGGGCUCACCUUGUACCACCUCAAGAGCCAUCUUCAGAAAUACAGGAUGGGAAAGCAGAGCAAGAAAGACACAGGCUUCGAAACCAACAGAGGAGCCUUCGCCGCGCAGGGUAUCAGUUUCUCCUCGGCGGUGCCUCCAAACGUUCCGUCCGCCGGAAACAGCAACAUGGGGAAAUUUUAUACCGACAUCACAAAAUGCUGGAUCAGUCCCGUCAAAGAAAAAUGCUGCAUCAGUCUAUCUAUACCGAAUCAGUUUAUAGAAACGCCACUCGCGGAUGCUUUAAGAUAUCAAAUCGAAGUCCAAAGGAAGCUGCACGAACAGCUCGAGGUUCAGAAGAAGCUGCAGAUGCGCAUCGAGGCGCAAGGGAAGUACCUGCAAACGAUCCUGGAGAAGGCCCAGAAGAACCUCUCCUACGAAGCCGGCGGAGACGCAACCCUAGAGACUACCAGGUCGCAGCUCACCGACUUCAACCUAGCCCUCUCGGGGUUCAUGGACGACGCGACGCAGGCGUGCCAGCAGAACGGCGGGGAGCUGGCCAAGGCCCUCUCCGACGACGGCCUCAGAGCCGGCAACCUGGGCUUCCAGCUCUACCACGGCGGCGACGACGUGAAAUGCGCCACCGACGAGGACCUGCUCCUGCUGGACCUGAACAUCAAAGGAGGGUACGAUCACCGGCUGUCCGCCCACGGCAUGCCGCGCGGCGCGGUGGACCUGACGGUCGGCCAGCACCGGAGGUAA